rnacentral:rRNA from 1 species
AUUGAACGCUGGCGGCAGGCCUAACACAUGCAAGUCGAGCGAGCGGCGGACGGGUGAGUACUGUAUGGGGACUGCCCGUUAGAGGGGGCUAACUACUGGAAACGGUAGCUAAUACUGCAUCCUAUCGGAUAACCCAUAUGGGAUUAGCUAGUGGGUGAGGUAAUGGCCCACCAAGGCGACGAUCCCUAGCUGGUCUGAGAGGAUGAUCAGCCACACUGGGACUGAGACACGGCCCAGACUCCGACGGAGGCAGCAGUGGGGAAUAUUGGACAAUGGGCGAAAGCCUGAUGCAGCCAUGCCGCGUGUAUGAAGAAGGCCCUAGGAUUGUAAAGUACUUUAAGUCGGGAGGCGUUACCGACAGAAGAAGCACCGGCUAACUCCGUGCCAGCAGCCGCGGUAAUUC